UCGAACUCAGCUUAAGUUCAUGUUUGAGGUGUUAUCUCUUAAAGAUAGUGAAGCUGACCUACCACUCAUGCUUUCCCGUAUAAUUAAAUCAUGAAGUCUGGAUCAUAAUUGCAAGGGGAAGCGUCUUUUGAUUUUUGAAUUAGCAAAGUUUAUCUCGAUCGCCAUUGCCAUUGCCCCUGAUCGUGUGGGCUGCAUAUUGAUGCUCAUGAAUGACCACCUCCCCUAUGCUUUCAUAUUAUUGAGACUCUGCACCAUUGCCUAUUUAUUCCAAACCUCUUAUUCAGAUGUUCCUGACGUGCCAAUUAAACGUGUUUCAUUUCUAACUGGUGUGCCUCUGUGCUCUAUAUUACCACUCCAACAUUUGUAUUUUGUCUGUGCAAUGUUAAACACUCCAAACAUUGAUCUUACUUUGGUCCUAAACACUUAGUUGCAAUUAGCACUCAAGCUCGAUACACCCAUACCAGGAGCUUACUUAGUACCUAUUAACACUCCUUUUUCUUUUUUAGAUGGUCACGUCUAACUGAUAUAUUGGCCUACCCAAUUGUACACACUUCCAAGGUGGCGCACUCAUUUGCUUUAUAUUAUUUUUUUCUCUUCCUCACGUGUUUAUCCACCCACUCGCACUACCUUUUCUAGAACCUUUUUCUUACGCCUUCCACUUCUCUACCAACGGUAACAUGUACCUCCAGCCCCCAACGUUAGGAUCACACCCCUAUAUAUAUGUUACCCUUUCACCUUCCCUCCCUGCCUCUCAAAUUCUAUCCCACCCACAGCAAGCCACUUUGAAACCACACAGCAUCUGUCGGUACUAGCUGCUGUACGCCAAGGCCCCAUUUUCCCCUCCAAGUCCUCUCUACUCUUGACAAAGUACCUCACCACGAAGUGCUACGUUGUUUUCCAUGGCCGCCAGCCCGGAGUCUACAACGAUUGGCCCACGUGCAAUGACCAAGUCAUUGGGUUCAAAAGAGCAUCAUUCAAGAGUUUUCCUACGGAGGAAGAAGCUUACGCAGUGUACAACGCCUACUUUGGCACAAAGCAGCAACUUGAACGCCGCCGCCCCACAACCGACACUAUUGUGUACAAGACCCCCCAGUGGAAGGAUGCAAUCUUAGUUUUACUUGCUGUUUCUUUUCUUGUUUUUUUCGCAUAUUCACUUUUCUAGACUGUACCCUCCAACCAGUGUACCCUCAAUCUUAUCCUGUUGUACGUAUGCAACGUCUGAAAUCAUAUACUCUGCCAACUAGUUCUACUGAAGCAAGUAUUUGUUAUUAA